rnacentral:tRNA from 1 species
GGAAGAAUGGCCGAGUGGUUUAAGGCGUCGCACUCGAAACGCGAUGUACUCGAAAGGUACCGGGGGUUCGAAUCCCUCUUCUUCCG